rnacentral:rRNA from 1 species
AGACGAACCGCCCAAACGUUAUUCGGAAUCACUGGGCUUAAAGGGUAUGUAGGCGGCAUGGUCAGUUGGGUGUGAAAUCCCUCGGCUUAACCGAGGAAUUGCGCCCAAUACUGCCAAGCUUGAGGGAGACAGGGGUAAGCGGAACUGAUGGUGGAGCGGUGAAAUGCGUUGAUAUCAUCAGGAACACCGGUGGCGAAGGCGGCUUACUGGGUCUCUUCUGACGCUGAGAUACGAAAGCUAGGGUAGCGAACGGGAUUAGAAACCCCGGUAGUCC